AACCUCGUAGCUCAGUUGGUAGAGCGUGCACUGUACAAAAGCUUAGGCGGCGUAAAUGAGUAAGUUCGAUUCCCACCUAGGUUA
rnacentral:tRNA from 1 species